GUCUUGUGUUGGGUAAUUGCGCUAGUUUUACUAGUGAGGAAAGUCCGAACACUUGUCGAUCUUGUUCAUUCAAGAUCGACAGCCAAGUAGCGGGUAACGCCCGCCGUGAGCAAUCAUAGAGGUGCGAGCAGUGACGCUUAUGUUCGAAAGAACAAAGAAUCCAACUAGUUGGAUUAACUCUUUGGGUAACAAGGAGAUGAAACGGCCAAAUCCUUACUUAAGUGCAAAGCCGUAUUGCAAGAAAAUCUUGCAAGGUGCCGCUUGAGCUGAAUGGCGACAUUUGGCCCAGAUAAAUAAUUAUCGUCCCACCACAGUGGGAUACAGAAUUCGGCUUAUAGACACAAGAUGGCA
rnacentral:RNase_P_RNA from 1 species